CUCUUCCUUUGACACGGUUCUGGAUAUAAGAGAAGAAUCUCCACUUUUUGCAUCGAGGGGAAGAAGUAUGUCAUCCUUUACUUCGUUACCAGGUUCCAUUUUCUAACCCUAACAAUCUCGAGAGUUGCGGUGUUGGUGGGAUGAGUAUAUACAUGCAUGCGGCAUGCAUGGAAUGGGUACAAUGUGGCCAUGCAUGGCCAUGCCAAGAUGGGAAGAGAUGGGUUUAGCGGGGUAUCUUGAUGGGUAUAGUGGACGACAAUGGGUAUGAGGAUGUAAGAGGGCUUGACUAUGGUGUUGGGAAU
rnacentral:lncRNA from 1 species